UGCCAGCAGCCGCGGUAACACGGAGGGUGCAAGCGUUGUUCGGAAUUACUGGGCGUAAAGCGCGCGUAGGCGGCUUUUUAAGUCAGAUGUGAAAGUCCACGGCUCAACCGUGGAAGUGCGUUUGAAACUGGAAAGCUUGAGUAUCAGAGGGGAUGGUGGAAUUCCCGGUGUAGAGGUGGAAUUCGUAGAUAUCGGGAGGAAUACCGGUGGCGAAGGCGACCACCUGGCCAGAUACUGACGUUGAGGUGCGAAAGCGUGGGGAGCAAACAGGAUUAGAUA
rnacentral:rRNA from 1 species